rnacentral:rRNA from 1 species
AGAGUUUGAUCAUGGCUCAGGACGAACGCUGGCGGCGUGCCUAAUACAUGCAAGUCGAGCGGAUCUUGUCCUUCGGGACAAGGUUAGCGGCGGACGGGUGAGUAACACGUAGGCAACCUGCCCUCAAGACUGGGAUAACCUCCGGAAACGGAUGCUAAUACCGGAUAUGCGGUUUCUCCUCCUGGAGAGAUCGGGAAAGACGGAGCAAUCUGUCACUUGGGGAUGGGCCUGCGGCGCAUUAGCUAGUUGGUGAGGUAACGGCUCACCAAGGCGACGAUGCGUAGCCGACCUGAGAGGGUGAUCGGCCACACUGGGACUGAGACACGGCCCAGACUCCUACGGGAGGCAGCAGUAGGGAAUCUUCCGCAAUGGACGCAAGUCUGACGGAGCAACGCCGCGUGAGUGAGGAAGGCCUUCGGGUCGUAAAGCUCUGUUGCCAGGGAAGAACGGGUGGAAGAGUAACUGCUUCCGCCAUGACGGUACCUGAGAAGAAAGCCCCGGCUAACUACGUGCCAGCAGCCGCGGUAAUACGUAGGGGGCAAGCGUUGUCCGGAAUUAUUGGGCGUAAAGCGCGCGCAGGCGGCUUUGUAAGUCCGGUGUUUAAUCUUGGGGCUCAACCCCAAGUCGCACGGGAAACUGCAAGGCUUGAGUGCAGAAGAGGAAAGUGGAAUUCCACGUGUAGCGGUGAAAUGCGUAGAGAUGUGGAGGAACACCAGUGGCGAAGGCGACUUUCUGGGCUGUAACUGACGCUGAGGCGCGAAAGCGUGGGGGAGCAAACAGGAUUAGAUACCCUGGUAGUCCACGCCGUAAACGAUGAAUGCUAGGUGUUAGGGGUUUUCGAUACCCUUGGUGCCGAAGUUUAACACAAUAAGCAUUUCCGCCUGGGGAGUACGCUCGCAAGAGUGAAACUCAAAGGGAAUUGACCGGGGACCCCGCACAAGCCAGUGGAGUAUUGUGUUAAUCGAAGCAACGCGAAGAACUUACCAGGUCUUUGACAUUCCCCCUUGAGUCUGGCCUAGAGAUAGCAACCGGUCCAUCGGUACAGGACAGUGUGCAUGGUUGUCCGUUCAGGCUUCGUGUGUC